rnacentral:rRNA from 1 species
UACAGAGGGUGCAAGCGUUGCUCGGAAUUAUUGGGCGUAAAGGGUAGGUAGGUGGUCUCAUUUGUCCGGGGUGAAAUCCUUGGGCUUAACUCAAGAAGUGCCUCGGAAACGGUGAGACUAGAGUACUGGAGAGGGUCGUGGAAUUCCCGGUGUAGCGGUGAAAUGCGUAGAGAUCGGGAGGAACACCAGCGGCGAAGGCGGCGACCUGGACAGUAACUGACACUCAACUACGAAAGCGUGGGGAGCAAACAGG